UACGGAGGGUGCGAGCGUUGUCCGGAAUCACUGGGCGUAAAGGGCGCGUAGGCGGCAUGCCAAGCGUGUGGUGAAAGCCCGGGGCUCAACCCCGGGUCGGCCGUGCGGACUGGCGUGCUCGAGCACUGUAGGGGCGGGUGGAAUUCCGGGUGUAGCGGGUGGAAGUGCGUAGAGAUGCGGAGGAACACCGAUGGCGAAGGCAGCCCCCUGGGCCGGACA
rnacentral:rRNA from 1 species